CGCGAGAUGGCCGAGCGGUCCAAGGCGCUGGUUUUAGGCACCUGCCCUCCCGGGACGUGGGUUCGAAUCCCACUCUCGUCA
rnacentral:tRNA from 1 species